UACGUAGGGUGCAAGCGUUGUCCGGAAUUAUUGGGCGUAAAGAGCUCGUAGGCGGUUUGUCGCGUCGGCUGUGAAAUCCUCCGGCUCAACUGGAGGCCUGCAGUCGAUACGGGCAGACUAGAGUGCUGUAGGGGAGACUGGAAUUCCUGGUGUAGCGGUGAAAUGCGCAGAUAUCAGGAGGAACACCGGUGGCGAAGGCGGGUCUCUGG
rnacentral:rRNA from 1 species